AUCACUAUUAUAGAGGAACCUGGGAAGCCUGCCAGAUCUGAGAGUAGGCAGAGGUCACCCUCAUACACCGCCUACGAUCCACCACAGAAGCACAGCUUCACCUCAACCAUUUAGAAAGUCUCAUAGCUGUCAAAGCGUUCAGUGGUCUUGCUGAGGAAAUCGUAUUGCACUCGCCACAUCUUCCUGGUUGCAGUCCACAUUGCAACAGAACACAACGGGCCAGCCGAGCAGACUCCUUCUCUGCAGCCACAAGUGGUGUCUGGAUGGCAAGGUGUUUUGCCUUCUAUGCUACUGGAGGAGCACCCCCCCAGAUGAAUAUCUUUGCAUCUCCUGCCAAAACAAAAUGUAACCAGUACUGUUCCAAAGCAGGAAUGGGACCCACAUCGAUAGGAGAUGCCAUUAUGAGCGUGUGGUCCCUGAGGCUCCUGUCCCUCUUUUCUCCCUCAGUGCUUCUCCAAAGCGUGAUCAUCUAGAUCCAACAAGACAAUUCCAAGGCUUUGAUCAUCACCCCAUGGGUCUGAAGUAACAGACGUCUGUGGGAAACCACCUUGGUCAGACCGUCUACCUUUGCUACCCGUUCCAGAGAGGUUUUUCGAGCCAAGGCCAAUGCUGCAUUUGGUUGAGUCGUCCUAGCCUGUGCUUUGCUGUAAGGACCCA